AUAAUAAACCACAGUAUCAGAGACAGAUAUAGAAGUGAUGAUAGUUAU
rnacentral:guide_RNA from 1 species